GACGAACGCUGGCGGCGUGCUUAACACAUGCAAGUCGAACGGGCCUUGUCCCCUUUUUUUUUGGGGGUGGGGUUAGUGGCGAACGGGUGAGUAACACGUGAGUAACCUGCCCCUCACUUCUGGAUAACCGCUUGAAAGGGUGGCUAAUACGGGGUGUUCUGGCCUGCUCGCAUGGGUGGGUUUGGAAAGAUUCGACCGGUUUUGGUUGUUUUGGUGGGGGAUGGGCUCGCGGCCUAUCAGCUUGUUGGUGGGGUGAUGGCCUGCCAAGGCUUUGACGGGUAGCCGGCCUGAGAGGGUGGGCGGUCACACUGGGACUGAGACACGGCCCAGACUCCUACGGGAGGCAGCAGUGGGGAAUAUUGCACAAUGGGCGCAAGCCUGAUGCAGCGACGCCGCGUGAGGGAUGGAGGCCUUCGGGUUGUGAACCUCUUUCGCCAGUGAAGAAGGUCCUGCUCUUUGUGGUGGGGCUGACGGUAGCUGGGUUAAUGAAGCGCCGGCUAACUACGUG
rnacentral:rRNA from 1 species